rfam:Erinaceus europaeus unplaced genomic scaffold scaffold00063, whole genome shotgun sequence
GGAUGUGAGAGGGAUCUGGCUGCAACAUCUGUCACCCCAUUGAUAACCAGGGUUGAUUCGGCUGAUCUGGCUGGCUAGGCGGGUGUCCCCUUCCUCCCUCACCACUCCAUGUGCAUCCCUCUGGAAGCUGCGAGCUUGGUCAAAGGGGAUGGCCUUUCCUGAAUAGAGAAGGACCCAUCUUCCGUCCAGGGUAUAUGAGUAGCUGCACUCCCCUGCUAGAACCUCCAAACAAGCUCUCUAAUGUGCCAGUGUGGUUGCUUUCACUGCACACUGAGUAAGGAGAGUGGCUUUUGGCUGGUCAGCAGUGUGGCCACUGCACCCAGAGCGGCCCAGGAGUUUCACUUCCU